rnacentral:misc_RNA from 1 species
GGUAGACUUAUCCUGAAACUAAGAAAUAAGGUCAAGCUGUAUUUAUAUAUCACAAACUAAGAACUAUAUUAUGUGUAUUCAUUUAUACACAAGCCAAUCAAUAUGUUAAUAUCAGCAGCGAUCAAUGUACAGAACCUCUAUGAUCUGGGAGCAAGGAGGAUUGGGGUUACAACUCUGCCACCAACUGGUUGUUUGCCAGCUGCCGUUACUUUGUUCGGCAGAGGAACCAACGAGUGUGUUGCAAAACUGAACAAAGAUGCUAUCUCUUUCAACAAGAAGCUAAACAGGACAUCUGAAAAGUUAAAGAGCAAGCUUCCUGGCAUCAAGCUUGUAGUCUUCGACAUCUACCAACCUCUCUUUGAUCUGAUCAUAAAACCUGCGCAAUAGUUAUGAAAGUUCGAAACCAGCAUUGGAAUUG